CCCACAGACUGUCCCCGCGUCGCGGCCGUGCUGGCCGCCCCGCGCGGCUUGCGGCAGGCCAGGCGGAGGGACCGUCCUAAGUCACCUGCUGACCAGACCUGGCAAACAGGAGUUUACCGGAUGAGCAACCUACGUUUCUCAUGAGGAAACCCCAUCCCUCAACCUGAACAAGGGAGCGAAGCCAAUUCCCAUAAAAGAAGAGAAAAGGAAAAGGGUCCUUCAAAAGCAUGAUUUAGUAUCAGCCACUGGCCACAGAAGAGUUCACUUUCCAGAAGUUCCUUACUUUCACCAGGACUCUGUUUCUCACAGGAUGCUGGACAGAGGGCCUCAGGUCCUGGUCACCUGUUGGCCUGAAGAUUGGCUCAGUUCCUUGCCAUCUGGGCCUCUCUAUAGGGUGACUCACCGCAUGGCAGCUGGCUCCUCUGAGGGUGAGAAAGCAAGAGAAUAAGAGAAGGCAAGCAAGAUGGAAGUCAGUCUUUUUGAAACUAAUCUUAGAAAUGACAUCCCAUUACUUUUGCUGUGUUCUGUUUGUUAAAAGUUAGGUCACUAGGUCCUGCCCACACUCAGGGGGAGGGAAUUACACAAGGGUAUGCGCACUGCAGGUGGAGACCGUCAGGUGCCAUCUUAGACUCUGCUUUCCAUGAUGGAUUCCUGGGCAGUGGCCAGUAGCAACUGCCCGUUAGAAAAUUGGAAUGGCCGACUAAAGGUACCCUGCAGGAUGGGGUGCCGUUGUUCAGGACACAGCAGCUCUUAGAGACCUCUUCAUGAAACCGUAUCCCCUCUACAAAGAAUACGAAGAGUAGAAGCAGGAGUGGUCUCACUUACCAUCACUCCCAGUGACUCAUCCUGGUAACUCUGGGCUCGGCAGGGUUAGAAGCAUUGCUCCUCAAAGGAAGUGCCCUCUUGCCAGGGGACAGAGCAAGGAGUCCCAUGAAAUUAUAAGCUGUACCUCCCACCUGGACACUUUGGAACCCUUGUCUCCAGAGACCAGCAGGCGAAAAGUAAAACCAGGAAUAACUGACCCUGAUCAUUAAGAGGAAUGGGCUGCUUUUACACAAUGGGGGCAGGGAUAGGCGCAUGCAGAACUCAGAUUAUCCAGUUGGGCACUUCUUGCUAAUCUUGGGAAUCUGUUACCCAGUUACAACUAUAAACAGUCGAAUACAGCAGCCCUGGUGCAGGAAGAACAUAAACACCCCUCAAGGAUGGGGUUUGGCGUCAACCUCCAGGAGAGUCACCAACACCCGCCAAAGUGAAGGCUGAGGGUGAGGGAGAUUUAGGAUGGAUAAUGGAUGUGGGAGAGGACGAGUGCCAGUUUUGACUUGAAGACUAACUGCAGAGAUAGGACUAUAAUUUGUCCCACUAGCCUCCUCUUCCAAGCUUUUCCUCAGGAAGAGAGGACUAUGGGAACCAUAGAGGAGUUGCUCCUUGACCUUGUGUGGGGAAGUGGACCUGUGAGGCACAAGGGGUGGACUAUGGUGACCACGGAAGUGGGUUGCUCAGAUCUUCCUUCCAGAGAACCAGAUGCAAGGAAUGCAGUGCAGCCUCCAGCCACUGCACCUCUGGAUGCACUCUGGUGUUCACUCUGAGGCCACAGUCUCCCCAGCCAAUGACUGAGAUGAUGGGGUACAGGAGCUGGGCCAUUUCCGCUAAUCACGAGACCUCUCUGAUGACCAGUCUUAGCUCUGGACCUCCACUGGCCCGGAUGAGACCUCCUUGGAGUUGUGUUGCAGUCUGAGGUUGCUUCCCCCAAUUCUCCUUCCUCUUUGCUCUUUUCACACACCUUAGACCUGCGUCACAGUCUGAAGGCGCCUCCUGCCCACUCCCACUCUCUUUCCCCUGAUCCCUGCCUGGGCUUUGCCCCAGUGGAUCUCAGGCAUCUCUGAUUCCUUCUCAGUGACUGCUGAUUCUAGGUCCUCACCAGGACUGACACAAAGCAGUGAGCUUAUCCCUUGGAGUUCAGGGUAAAAUUCUGAAAUAAAUUUAUUAAAUUUAGAUAAAUUUCAAUCCAAUGUGUAAGUAUCCCAAAUACAAAUCCACACUGCAGUCCAACUUUCAGAGCAUAGAUUUGUACAUUAACAAAAAUUAUAAAAUUCCUGUUGCUAUGGGCAGUUAGACACAGUGCCCAGGCAGGAAACCCCUCAGGUGGCGGGUGAGCACUGACGAGAAGGAGUCAAGGCGGGA